UUAUUUUAUUAAAAAAACUUUUUUUUUACAUUUAUUUAUUUUUGAGAGACAGCGUGAGACAAAGUGAGAGUGGGGGGAGGCAGAGAGAGGGAGACACAACCUGAAGCAGGCUCUGAGCCGUCAGCACAGAGCCCGAUGUGGGGCUCGAACCCAUAGACCGUGAGAUCAUGACCUGAGCCGAAGUCGGACGCUCAACCGACUGAGCCACCCAGGCGCCCCAGGAUUUUUUAAAUGAAAAGUUGAGUAAAUAUAUUUCAAAAGUUUGUUAACAUACUGAGCUCGAUUUAUCUGGAAAAUGUCACCAACGUAGCAAAAUUAUUCUUCUUUAUGUCGCGUGCUUUUCGCAAUCAGUUUUCCCCCUACUUACUUACCACUUAUUCAUAGUAAGUUUUUUCCAUCACAUCACAUAGUUCAUAUCAUCUGCUUUUUCCUCCCCAGCCCCUGCCAACCGUGGGUUCUCCAGGAGGGAUUUUUCCACUUUCUUAUCGCUGGUUUGCAACCUUCUCUCGAGCUUCCCUGGUAUAAUCUGGAAUUGGCCCCCGAACUCAGAGGGCAGAGACAGAUGAGGGAGGAGGUAGGUGGCAGUUUUAAUAAGCAAAGGGCACUUCCUGUGAGGCUUGUCUUGGCUGCAGCAAGAUGAUUAGAUCCCUGCACCUGCCCGCCAGACCUUCGAAGUUUAGAUAGAGGCCUUAACUGGGUUCAGUCAGUAUACCAUGCAGGUGUUCUCAACAUGACAUCCCCAUCUCAAGGCUGUGUCCUUGGAGGAGCUUCUGGGAGCAGGAAAGGCAAGCAGAAGCCACAUUCCAAGGACAGAGGAGGGGGCGAGGAGCCUCCUAUUGGUGAGGUCCCGCUCACAGGUCAGCUGGCGGUCCCGUCUUUUCCAUGACCUUCCCCAACACCGAUCAAUAAAUAAUUACUAAUUACUGCAUAUUGUUAUUUGCAAGGCACUGUGCUUGAUACCUGUGAAGGUUUAAAGACGAAUAAGAUGAGAUUCCUGCUCACAAGGACUUUAUACAGGGAUAUGCCUGUUUUCGAGUUCGUGAAGCUGUGAGCUUUGGGAGGAGGCGGUGGGAUAUGAAGCCUGAAAGGUAGGACAGGCUGAGUUAUGGCCCAGAUUUUAUUCCGUGGGCCUCAUAGAGCCGCCGAAGGAUUUUGUGCCAGGGGAGACAAUGGUUCGGAAGAUUAAUCUGGCCGCUACUGUGCACGGUGGGGACCGUGCUAGUAUUCCGGAAGAUGGACCCUGGGUACUCCCCCGCUCCUUUGUGAGAGAAUCUGUCUUUGUCCACUCUACUAGAUGGAGGCCUGGCUCCAGGUUUGAAAUUUUGCGGGGGGACGUCUUAGAGGAGGCCAAAGCAGUCAUCCCGUCUUCCUCCUCAUCUAGCUCUUGCUCAGAGAUGUCGCCACGUUGCCGUUAAGAUCUCUAUUUAUAGACGAGGAACCCGAGAUCUGGAAAAGUUAACAGGUUGUGAGCGGUGAGGUUCGGAUCCACGUGUGCUCGGCACCAAACCUGAGCUGCGGAGCCCAUCCUGCUUCAGCAAGGAGAGGGAAGGCAACCAGUAUGGCCCUGGGAGGGGUUGGCAGGAGGAGGGAAUGGUGACCACACAGUGGGCACCCGAUUCAGCUUCCGGUUCGAUCCGGAACUUGUCCAGGAAGUGUUGUUUAGAAAUAUUUGAAGACCGUUCUGCAGCUGGUGGGGACAUAUUUGUUCUUGGCUCAGGGGUAGCAGUUUUGGCUCGACGCUAAUGGAAUUCAUUGGCGAUCAGGAUAACUUAUCGAUGGAAGCAAACUCAUGAAGGCUCCAGUGCCGGAGUUGGUUAUGUGUUGGGUCUCCACCUGAUUUGAACAUAAAGAGCUGAAUUGAAUGGCUCUGUAAUAAUGAUAAUAAUAGCAGAUCGUCAUCAUCAUCCUCGUAGUAAUACCUUUGUCGAGAGCUUACUGGCUGAGGGGACAACUCAAAGAAGAUCUUCAAAGGAAAAGUGGCAGCAGGAAGGAGACUGUCCAGGCACAGCCUCAGGCACAGCCUGUGGAUGUAGACCGAGGGAGGGAAGUAUUUAUUCUCAGCCAGGGGGAAAGAUAGACAGUGCCCUUCAAAGUCAGCCGUUUUCAGAGCAAAUCAUUUCCAGGCAACUGUUUUUGGGGAAGGCGUUGAUUUUCAUCACAGUCUGCCAGUAAUGGAUUUGAAAUCAGAUGGCAGCAAACAGUUGUGUCAUUUUAUGCAGAUAGGUUUUCUUAGAAGGUUCCAGUAGGCUGGUCCUUCUGAAAAUCCCUGUUAACUUGCCUUUUCAGAGCUAAGCACCGAAAGCACGGCCCUCUCUUCCUUCCUCCCGCCCCUUUCCCUUUGUGUUUGCUGUAUCCACAGUGUGUUAAAACACACCCAUUGUUGGUCUGCUGAGUGAAGAGGACCUGAGUGGUAACAGCCAUUCAGGGAGGGGCGCCUGGGUGGCUCUGUCAGGUUGAGCAUGUGACUCUUUAUGUUGGCUUGGGUCAUGAUUCCAGAGUCCUGGGAUUCUGUCCUUCGAGUCCGGGCUCUGUGUGUCACCAGCACAGAGCCCGCUUGGGAUUCUCUCUCUCUCUCCCCCCUCUCUGCCCCUCCCCUCCCCUCUCCUCUUCCUCAAAAUAAAUAAAUAAACUUAAAAAAAAAAAAAGAAAAAACAAUUCAGGGAAUUCAGGUCCUGCCUGACUCCCUGCCCUGCUCCUUCUCCUCGAGCUAGUGUGUGUGUCUCAUUUACCCACUUUGUUGUUCACACUUUUCUCACGUGCACUGUCUUAUUAAAUGUCUUUCCUACAUUCCUGGCGUCCCUUGAGGACUACGCGAUGCCUUUUUUGGGCUGGCCUAAAUGGGUGGCUUCACGGCCACCAACGUAUCCAUGGAAAGAGAGGCAGUCUUAAGCGAACUCUUAAGUCCCGAAAGGAGAUGCUGUGCCUUUCCGAGUGCUUCUCCUGUUCUGCAAAGGCAGUGCUCAGAGGACAUGCUGAUUAAGGGAAAAUUAGGGUCGCUUGUUUUCCUGUUUUCCAUAUGGAAAGAAGGUUUGAACAUGCAGUACGAGCCGGAGUCCAUAUGCUUUGAAAUCUGUCCAUGAUUCUCGCUUUGCUGAAUUGCAGAAUCGGAUGCCAUCUAGGUACUGGCGUCCGGACCCAAACACGACCAGUAGUCACAGCGUGAUUUCUGCCCUUUUAGGUCCGUAUCACCUUCUAUGAAUUCUUCUGGAAAAUACUCAAAAAAGGUGAUGGAUUUAAAACUGUUCUUAGAUUUUCAUAAUUCAGAUGUAUCUGGGAAAUAAUUUAUCUGCACACAGCCUUUUUUUUUUUUACAAGAAAGAAUAUUAUCUUUGUAUUUGCAACAGAUUUCAUGAUUAUUACAGUUUUUUUUUUUUUUUUUAAGACUACACGUCUCACACAUGAUUGUUUAAAUUGCUUGGGAAACAUUCCUAGAAGCGACGUGGCUGGGUCAAAGGAUGCCACUUAAAAUUUUUGAUACCUAUAGCCAAGCUGCUGUCUGGAAAUUUUAUACCUUUUUAUACCAUAACCCAUGUGAGCUAUAAAGAGUUAUUCUAGAUGUUUUACGUGUUUCCUCACCUACUCCUUGCAAAAGAGAGAACAGAUAGGGUCAGCUACCUGUCCGUCACGCAGCUAUUGAAUGAUUGAGCUAGGAUUUGGAACCCAGCAUCUCAGCCAGACUCCACGUUGCACACUGUUGCCUUUUGUGCUCUGUUACUUCCACAGCAGCCGAUGUGAGAAAAUUAACAACGUGAUGCUGUGAUGAGCCCCUUCCUUCGAUGAAUCCCUAGAGCAAAGAGCAAAUGAAACAGAAAGUGUUGGGAAACGCGACAACUGUGGCUGUGUGCUUCCUUUCUGAUCUGCAGCCCCCAGGGUGACUUUAACGCUCACGUUCCCGAAAUGUUCCUGACUUGUGGAAGCAGCUGUCAGAACCAGCGCGGUAUCCAAGUGAAGCUUGGACACCAGCUUUCUAGCAUUUAUGUCUGAGGGCCCAAAGGGCACGCAUAGAUGAGCACUGUCCACUCAAGGUUGAAGCCUACUUGUGGACACUCGGUUCUCAUGAUAGUGGAGCUGUGAUGGGGAAUCAGCUUGGGCCAGGGCGAAGCCAUAGCUGCUUCUUCCUCAAAUGAGACAGAGCAUGAACGGGGGAGGGGCAGAGAGAGAGAGGGAGACACAG